ACAGUUGGCAGUGGUACAGUUGAGAGACUCUGGGUGAGAACCAAGAGGCAAACAAAUGUUGCCAUGGGAGUCUGCUAUAGACCUCCCAGCCAGGACGAUGGUGCCGACAAUUAUUCUUUGAGGAACUAAGGGACACUUAGUCAACUGCCCUUGUCCUUAUGAGGGACUUCAAUUUGCCAGAAUUAACUGGGACCACCACACAGCUGGUACAACCUGGGCCAGAAGAUUCCUAGAAAAUGUGGAUGACAACUUCAUGGAACAGGUCCUACGGGAGCCAACUUGGAAAGGGGGGAGAGUGCCAGCAAAACCUCAACUCUAGACAUGAGGAGAACAGAAUUCAGGCUGCUUGGGGAAUUAAUGAUGGACCAAGGAGGUCUCAGUGCUCUGAGCUGGAGGACCAUGACUGCAAUAAUGAUCAACUCCCAGUCAACCAUGAAAUUGCGUGGGAUCUGC